rnacentral:rRNA from 1 species
CCUACGGGUGGCUGCAGUGAGGAAUAUUGGUCAAUGGUCGGAAGACUGAACCAGCCAAGUAGCGUGCAGGAUGACGGCCCUACGGGUUGUAAACUGCUUUUAUACGGGAAUAACGCGCGUUACGUGUAAGGCUUUGUAUGUACCGUAUGAAUAAGGACCGGCUAAUUCCGUGCCAGCAGCCGCGGUAAUACGGAAGGUUCGGGCGUUAUCCGGAUUUAUUGGGUUUAAAGGGUGCGUAGGCGGUAUGUCAAGUGUGCGGUGAAAUCUCGGGGCUCAACUCGGGCCUUGCAGCGCGUACUGGUGUGCUUGAGAGCGCGGAAAGCAGGCGGAAUGCGUGGUGUAGCGGUGAAAUGCUUAGAUAUGACGAAGAACCCCGAGUGCGAAGGCAGCUUGCUGCAGCGGAACUGACGCUGAGGCUCGAAAGCGCGGGGAUCGAACAGGAUUAGAUACCCCAGUAGUC